GUAGGUGGCAAGCGUUGUCCGGAAUUAUUGGGCGUAAAGCGCGCGCAGGCGGUCCUUUAAGUCUGAUGUGAAAGCCCACGGCUCAACCGUGGAGGGUCAUUGGAAACUGGGGGACUUGAGUACAGAAGAGGAAAGCGGAAUUCCAAGUGUAGCGGUGAAAUGCGUAGAGAUUUGGAGGAACACCAGUGGCGAAGGCGGCUUUCUGGUCUGUAACUGACGCUGAGGCGCGAAAGCGUGGGGAGCAAACAGGGAUUAGAUACCCUGGUAGUCCACGCCGUAAACGAUGAGUGCUAAGUGUUAGGGGGCUUCCGCCCCCUUAGUGCUGCAGCUAACGCAUUAAGCACUCCGCCUGGGGAUACGGCCGCAAGGCCG
rnacentral:rRNA from 1 species